ensembl:lncRNA
GCCAGGAUAGAGAACUUUCUCUCCCUCCUACUUCUGCUUACUCUUCUGACAACUAUUGGAUCACUCCUUGGAGCUAACACCCCACUAGGUGUCUCUUCCUGCACUUCUGCUUGAUUGUUUCCUUCCUUCCUCCAGCCACAGGAAGAUGGCCAAGUUUGUGUUCCUCAGCCGAUGCAGAGUUCAAGAAUGGAAGCAAAAUUUUGAGACCACUUCUCUUUAGGAACAGAAUUGUUCACAAACAGAAGCAUCCAUGAACCCAGUGGGUCAUAGGGGAUUCCCCUCCCCCACCACACACAAAAAGCUGUGGCUGUGAGAAAAUGGAGAACUCGCUGUACAGUGGAUACCAUGAGGAUCUGGACCUGCUUUUGUGUCUCUUACCCUCAGCUUACACUAAACCCAAUUGAACAAUUCUCUGCACUGCACCUCUGCCAUGCUGCCCUGCCUGGGAGCCAGCAGAAUAUGGACUGAAACCUCCACCAACUGUGAGCCAAAAUAAACCUUUCUUCCUUUAAAUUUUUGGGUGCAAAGUUAAGUUGUUGGUUUGAGAUCUUCAAGUUUAAGUGCAGGCACUGUGUGCACCAAAGAUGAAUCAUGAAGCCUGGAAUAGCCAGCAAAACACCCGAAUUCUCUUGUGUACUCUUAUAAACAGCUAAGUGGAACACAAGCAAUUCUCUUCCAUUCCCUGUGAUUCAGAGUGCUCUUUUCAAAAAGGAGGUAAAUUUUUACAGUUCAAUGAUUUCACAUUAUGAUGCAAUCCAAAAUCUAGUAGAGACUAGCAUUCUACUAUCUCUGCUGAUGGCUUAUAAGUUGUUAUCUCUAAAGAGUAUGUCCAUAUAACUAUAUCUAUAAUCCACUAAUUGCGACAUUUGCAGUCAUGGAUGGGAUGCUGUAUGCAUGGACUUAGACCACCCACUGUCUGACUCAUGGGGCAGCUUUUAUUUGCCUGUUGCAGACACAUUCCUACAGCCAGCAUGGCCUUUGGCCAAGAAGGCACUGACUGGUGCCUGCUUUACAUAAAAUUCUUGCCUUUUUGAUGAGGAGUUUGCUCUAUUUUUGCCAUUGAAUUACUGAUGAGUGAGGGGAAGGAACAGUAUGUGACUGAAAGCUGCAGGAGACUAUCCUCUAACACAAGCUCCUUCCUUCCCUCUGCCAGGAAGACCUCUGUAAAGGCACUGAUGGACCAUCCAAGAUUCACCUCUACUGACAUGAGACAGUAAGCUGGACAAAAAUGGAAAUUCACAGUGACUUCCUCUGUCCACUUCUGCUCCUGGAGGCAAAUAGCAAAUUGAACUUGGGCAGAGAGAGGAAAGAGAGAAAUGAAUGGGAAUAAAGAGGAUGAUUUCUUCAUUCCUAUCCCUCCAUUCCUACUUAGUUUCAGCCACUACCAUAGCAACCAGUAACAUGUGUUUCCAGGAUCACAUCAGAAUACCACAUUACCCAUAAUUAUAUUAUCUUCAUGGAUUCUUCUGGUCUGUGACAGAUUGACUUUCCUUGUUUUUAAUGAUCUUGAGAGUUCUGAGGAGUAAUGAUCAGGUAUUUUGUAGAAUUUUCCUCUAUUAGCAUUUAUGUGAUGUUUUUCUUAUAAACGAAUAGUGAUUAUAUGGUUUUAGAAGGAAUAUCACAGAGGUAAAGUGGUAUUCUGGUCACAUCAAAGUACACAUGAACAUGACUUAUCACUGUAGAAUGUUGAUCUUGAUCAUUUGGCUUAGGAUUUCUUCUUUGGAAAGGUACUCUUUGUUCCUCCAUUGCCUACUGUACUCAUUUUAAAGAAGUCACUGUCCAGAGUUCAAACUUAAGAAAUGCAGAAUUUAUACUACACUUACACAGCAUCUAUGCUAAUUGUGUGGACUUCAUUUUGUGAUUUUUCAAUAUUUUGAGCUCUAUGUUCUGGAGAUUAAUUCCUUGAUAGAUGAAUAGUUAGCAAAUAUUUUCUCCCACUCUCUAGGUUGUCUUUUAAUUCUGCUGAUUAUUUCUUUUGCAGUGCAGAAAUGUCUUAGUUUGAUGUAGUCACAUUUGUCUACUUUUUUAUUAUUGGUAGUAUGGGGUUCUAUCUAAAAAAAAUCAUUCAUUAUGCCAAUAUUGUGAAGUGUUUCUCCUGUUUUCCAUACAAGUCAGUUAAAUGCUUAGAGUCCAUGGCAAUGCUCUCCACUAGUCCAGCCAGUGGCCUAGAGCCCCUAGGAGUGUCUCAUCCUUCUCCAUAUUGAGGAUCUGCACUUGGAAGGCCCAAAGGCCAGUGGUGGAAGCCAGAAAACCUACACCGGUGAGAUGAAGGAUUUGUGCCACCAAGCUAAGGGAUCCACAUUGGAGCCAGCCUGAGGAAAACAGCAGCCAUUCCCAGCGACAGUAAAGCCCCAAGCUCCUUCUCCAAGGAGAACAGCCUAGUUUGCAUCAGGAAAACCAUCUGCAGAAAGCUUCUCCUAGAAAAUCAACAGGCCACGAUCUUCUUCCUCAAGUUCUCUUUUCAUGGUCAUUGGCAAAAAUCCUCAGGUGGAUCCUCCUUGCCCAGACCAUGCUGAUUCAGUUCAGCUGGGUGAUACAAGUAGACCAUUAGUCAAUCUACCACAGUAACUUUAUCAAAAAACUUAGAAGUGAAACACAUUGAGUCGUCUCUAGAUGUUUCCAUGUAUAGAAUCAUGUCAUCUGCAAACAUGAAUCAUUUACUUUCAUUUCCAACUGGAUGCCCUUUCUUUCUCUUCCCAAGAUUUUCAGUACCAUAUUAAGUAAAGAAUGAUGAAAUCAGGUAUUCUAGUCGUAUUCUCAAUCUUAUAGCAAAUACUUUCAGCUUUUCAC